rnacentral:rRNA from 1 species
UGGGGAAUAUUGCACAAUGGGCGAAAGCCUGAUGCAGCGACGCUGCGUGAGGGACGAAGGUCUUCGGAUUGUAAACCUCUUUCAGCAGGGACGAAGCGAAAGUGACUGUACCUGCAGAAGAAGCACCGGCUAACUACGUGCCAGCAGCCGCGGUAAUACGUAGGGUGCAAGCGUUGUCCGGAUUUAUUGGGCGUAAAGAGCUCGUAGGCGGUUCGUCACGUCGGAUGUGAAAACCUGGGGCUUAACCCCGGGCCUGCAUACGAUACGGGCGAACUAGAGUUCGGUAGGGGAGACUGGAAUUCCUGGUGUAGCGAUGAAAUGCGCAGAUAUCAGGAGGAACACCGGUGGCGAAGGCGGGUCUCUGGGCCGAUACUGACGCUGAGGAGCGAAAGCGUGGGGAGCAAACA